UAUAGGUUUAUGAGAUUAGUAAAUUAUUCCAUUCCUUUUUUCUCACAAUUUGUACAGUGUCCCAACUUUUUUGGAAUCGGGUUUGUAUAUAUACAGGACAUUUUAGAGCUGGAGAAACUGGAGGUGCUUCCUUCUCUCAUAGAACUGUCUGUAAUGAGCAACCCAGUGAGUCACACACACACUAGAUGAAAAGUUUUCAAAUUGAGCUCUUGGCUGAACUACAAACUAACCAUUAUCACACACACACACACACACACACACACACACACACACACACACACACACACACACACACACACACACACACACACACACACACACACACACACACACACACACACACACAGUAUAACACUUAAUGGCUUCUCUGGUUCUGAAUAAAUACAGUAUGUUCUGUCCUCUUUACCUGGCUGAAUAUCCUUUUAAUAAGAGAUAUUCUGCACUACGACAUACCAAGCAUGUGUGUUACAGGUGGCACGGCGAUUACUGCACAGACAAGCAGUGGUACUGCAUUUGUCUACACUGCAGGUUCUGGAUGGCAUGACAGUCACCCUUGAAGAAAGAACUAGAGCAGAGCUUUUAAAUAAUGAAGCACAGGGUUCUGCAGUAGUUUAGGAGGUGAAAUGACUUUACCCAGUUUGGUACCAUUGGUGACCCGACCAGCUCCUUUAAGAGGUAUGGGCAUACACACACUCAUACCUGAUCACCAAGAAGACACACAUGAUACCAGCAGAUGUACAUAUACAUACAGUACAGACACAAACCAAAUGUGUAUGUUAAACACAAAUGCACACCGUGUACAUGUUUUCAUGUAGAUUUUGAGAUAAGAAGCAAAAGGCAGUUGUCUCUCUGUUGCGUGGGGUUCACAGUGACAUCAACUUCAGGCAGAUCCAGCCACUACAUGACAGCCCUGCAGCAGAUCGGAUAUAGAGUUCUCUCCACUUUCCCUGACGCCGAUCCUGAGACCAGGUAGCAGUGUCACAGUGUACCCAGACCUUCUCCUCCUCUCUAAAGCAGAGUCAUAGACGCACUGUGUGAGUCGUGUAUUUUAGCUUUGGUCUUGUGUGUUGUUGUUCAUCUUUGGAUCUUAAAUAGGACAUCAAUGAACAGUUUGUUUAUUUAUUUGGAAUUGUGUC